GGGGAUAUAACUCAGUUGGUUGAGUGCUUGCCUUACAUGCAGAAAGCCCUGGUUCAAUCCCUGGCACCA
rnacentral:tRNA from 1 species